rnacentral:tRNA from 1 species
GCGGUUGUGGCGGAAUGGCAGACGCGCUAGGUUGAGGGCCUAGUGGUAGUAAAAUACCGUGUGGGUUCAAGUCCCACCGACCGCACCA